GGAAAAAAAAAACUGCAGUGCUGAAAAUGCAACCAAUUCAACAUUAAACAUCUCUCUAGGUGGAUCCAUGCUACCAGCUAUUGUAUUUAGUUUUUCUUUUUCCAAGUGAGAUCACAUGACUUCUUUCAUAUUCAACUUCAAUAAAAUCAUUGAUGAGAUCUUUUA